rnacentral:rRNA from 2 species
CAAGUCGAGCGAAGGGAGUACUACGGUACGAACUUAGCGGCGGACGGGUGAGUAACGCGUGGACAAUCUACCCUGUAGACUGGGAUAACACCUCGAAAGGGGUGCUAAUACCGGAUAAUGUCGAGAAGCGGCAUCGCUUUUCGAAGAAAGGAGAGAAUCCGCUAUAGGAGGAGUCCGCGUCCCAUUAGCUAGUUGGUGAGGGUAACGGCCCACCAAGGCGACGAUGGGUAGCCGGCCUGAGAGGGUGAACGGCCACACUGGAACUGAGACACGGUCCAGACUCC